AUUAGAUUUUGAUCCUGGCUCAAAACGAACGCUGGCGGCAGGCUUACCACAUGCAAGUCAAACGGGUGUAGCAAUACAUCAGGGGCAAACGGGUGAGUAACACGUGGAAACCUUCCUCGUUGUACGGAACAACUCAGGAAAACUUGAGCUAAUACCGUAUACGUCCAAAAGGAAAAAGAUUUAUCGCAAUGAGACGGGCCCGCGUCGAAUUACCUAGUUGGGGGGGUAACGGCCUACCAAGGCAACAAUCCGUAGCUGAUCUGAGAGGAUGAUCAGCCACACUGGGACUGAAACACGGCCCAAACUCCUACGGGAGGCAGCAGUGGGAAAUCUUGAACAAUGGGCGCAAGCCUGAUCCACCCAUGCCGCGUGAGUGAAAAAGGCCUUCGGGUUGUAAAGCUCUU
rnacentral:rRNA from 1 species